GAUAAGAAAGUAAUUAUAAAAUAUUAAUUAUUUUAUAAAAUAUUUCUUGAUUAAUUUUUUUGAGGAUAAGCUCGGAAAAAAGUUAAGAUAUUUUGUUGAUUUAGGUUGUUAUGUGGGCUUAAAAUUGGCCAUCAUAAGAGUUUGUUAUAAAACAACAAUCCCAAUAUUUAAAAUAAAUAUAUUUUAUUCUAAUUUUUUACAGAAAUAAGAACUAUAAUUAACAAACGUUUUAUGCCUAUGCUAGGAUGAGUAUUAAAAUUUUUCAUACGUUAAGAAAGUUUUAUAUAUUUUUCUUCCGGGAAGAUAUUGAUCAAAUCAAAUUAGUUAGAAGGAACUCGGCAAAUUUAAUGCUUUCGCCUGUUUAUCAAAAACAUGGCUCUUUGCAUUUAUUUUAUAAAGAGUCAGGCCUGCCCAGUGAAUAAUAUUU
rnacentral:rRNA from 1 species